UACGUAGGUGGCAAGCGUUGUCCGGAUUUACUGGGCGUAAAGAGCGCGCAGGCGGUCGUUCAAGUCGCGUGUGAAAGCCCCCGGCUCAACUGGGGAGGGUCACGCGAUACUGAUCGACUCGAAGGCAGGAGAGGGUAGUGGAAUUCCCGGUGUAGCGGUGAAAUGCGCAGAUAUCGGGAGGAACACCAGUAGCGAAGGCGGUUCUCUGGGCCGGUACUGACGCUGAGGAGCGAAAGCGUGGGGAGCAAACAGG
rnacentral:rRNA from 1 species